AUUGAACGCUGGCGGCGUGCCUAAUACAUGCAAGUCGAACGUAGUGGCGCACGGGUGAGUAAUGUAUAGCUAAUCUGCCCUACACUAGAGGACAACAGUUGGAAACGACUGCUAAUACUCUAUAGUGUAGGAUGAGGCUAUAUUGUAUCAGCUAGGUGGUGAGGUAAUGGCGCACCAAGGCUAUGACGCAUAACUGGUGUGAGAGGAUGAUCAGUCGCACUUGAACUGAGACACGGUCCAGACUCCUACGGGAGUCAGCAGUAGGGAAUAAUUCUCAAUGGGGGAAAACCUGAAGCAGCAACGCCUCGUGGAGGAUGACACUUUACGGAGCGUAUACUCCUUUUGUUAGGGAAACGGUACCUAACGAAUAAGCACCGGCUAACUCCGUGCCAGCAGCCGCGGUAAUAC
rnacentral:rRNA from 1 species